AGAAAUUAGAGAAAUUGCGUUGGGGAGAUACUUUCCAUCGCUCUCCUCGGAGAUCUGGUGCGCUGCCGCAAUCUGCCUAGGCCCCGAUAUCGCUUUGUGCGACUUGCAUCUCCCCCUCCAGUGCGUGUUCUUCUGCUUUCCUCUCGGCGGGCCAAGGUGCCAAUGGCUAGCGCUUGCGCGGCAGCGCUGUGGAGAGGUAGAUGCAGGGUAACUCUCUCCGGUGCGCAUGCUUUCCUACUUUCCACUCAAUGGCUGACGACGUCGAUGAUAGCUUUGCGGGGCCGGCGUGUGUAGUCGCGGUGUCCGUAGAAGAGAUGCGGCCAUGGGCGGUGUCCAUGAAGCAGCAGCAACUGUAAGAUCAGACAUUUGCAUAAGCUUGAAGCAGCAGCAAGCCAGCAACAGAACUUGUGGCAGGUAUGUUCAUGAAUAGAAGAGAAGCAAGUAAAGAUUUGAGAAGAUGCGAGAGAAGGUAGUCAUACGGCCGACGGACACAAGCAACAGAGGACGGGAAGAAUACGUGAACGAUUGCACAAAGGAUCCGGUGAUGAGAGAGAUAAACGAGGUGAAUGAUUGGAGGAGCAUAUUGGCUACGCUCUUGGGCCCAGCUGCAGCGUGAUGAGACAGCCAAGGACGCACUCUCUACGAUAAGCAAGAAAUUGGAAGUAGUUGCUUUAGAGAUUUCCAAUAAAGGAUGGAAACAUUUGUAUUGUUUGAACUAGCGUCCUAGUCGAUUUGUAGACUUUGGCUGUCUCUAUUUAUUUUCUCCAAACUUUGUAAUAUUUGGCUGUGUACAUCCACAGAUGUAGAGGCCGGAUACUUUAUAUCCAUUAUCUAAAAAAAAAGCUGUCACCUACGCGAA